UACGAAGGCUCCAAGCGUUAUCCGGAUUUAUUGGGUUUAAAGGGUGCGUAGGCGGACUAUUACGUCAGUGGUGAAAGCCUGCAGCUUAACUGCAGAACUGCCAUUGAUACUGAUGGUCUUGAGUACACUUGAGGUGGGCGGAAUGUGCCAUGUAGCGGUGAAAUGCUUAGAUAUGACACAGAACACCGAUUGCGAAGGCAGCUCACUAAAGUGUAACUGACGCUGAGGCACGAAAGCGUGGGGAUCAAACAGG
rnacentral:rRNA from 1 species